rnacentral:tRNA from 1 species
AAUAAGAUAGGAUAAUUUAGUCUAUUAGGUUCAUACCCUAAAUAAGUUUUCUCUUGUUA